UACUGAGCUCAAUGUGACGGGUCAUGUCUUACUCAUUUGCCCUGGUUGCCAUGUUCAUUUAUCUUCUUUUUGGGAUAGCUGUGCCUUGGUAAACCAUCGCUGCCGUCUGUAUUCUUUGUCAUUCAAUUUUUGUUUCCUUUUCCAAGCCACACGAUUUCUCUUUUGGCCGAUGAGCUCGAGACCAGGAAAGAUAUCAUGUCUAUCUAUUGGAUUUAUAUUACAGCAAGAGAAAUGGGACAAAGAAAAACGUAAGCCAUGAAAAGAAGAAGUAGAAAGGGGAAAAAUGGAUCUUCAUCAGAACAUAGGAAGAAGAUGAGAAGAAGAAUAAGCAGAUGAAGAGAAGAGAAUGGAUUUUCAGCCUAAUCGGUGUUGUCCCCGCUGAUUAGUGCUGCUCUCGUAAGUCCCUCUUCUCCCUCUGAUUCUAAGCAGUUCCUUUCACGUAAGUCUCUCUGUUCGCCUCUACUGAGUUCUUGAACUGCACUCGGAAGAAUUUUUAACCCAUCUCGUGGUGGUAGCAUUUGAUGGUUAGAGUUGCAGAUUAUUCGCCUUUUUCACUUGACACUGGCAAACUUAUAUUAGGUCAAGAAACUAUAGUAAAUAUUAUGCACAAGUCCCAGAAUUCGCCAACAUUAGACUAGUGCAUGGACGUUUAUGAAGUUCAAGUUUUGAUCACUGAUUCGAAUUUUGUUUGUUUCUUUUUAAUGAGAGUUAUGAAAUUGAAAUUAUUGAUGGGAUUCUUUGUAUUAUUGAUGGGAUUCUAUAAGAAUGCAUUUCUCUUUUUUGGUGAAAUGUUGUUUUGUGUUUUCUACUUAUUAUAUGCACUUUUUUUCUGUGGAAAGUUAUGGAAAGAAAUUAGACAAAAAUAUAGAAAAUUUCAGACAUAUUUGAACUGAAAAUGUUCCCAAAACCUAUUUAAAUGAAAAAAGACCAUCAU